UUGAGAAAAGGAAGAGAAACAGGUGGAAUCAACCGAAUCCAAAGAAGGCUGCUUAAAGUAACUCAACUUUGUCACCUGACUCUUUCUCCUGGGGAGACCUGAAGGGUGGGUGUGAAGUCCUCUGGGUGCCAAAUUCAACUGGAGGCUUCUCAGAGCGAGUAGCUGGAACCCGCAGGCCCGAGUUCACCUGUCCCUGCACUCCCCAAGCAGACAGUGUACUGCCCCAGAAAGACCACAGUUGAAUCACAGCAUCGGAAACAAGUUCUCACUGGAACAGAUGGACGGAGAGGUUGAAACACACACUACAUGCAUAUUUAUAUUUGCAGAGCUGGGUAUGACAGUCACAGCGAGGCAGAAAAAACAAUGACGAAACCAGAACCAAGAGUUCUAUUAGGCACGGAGAACUUAACGAUUAGAACGAACGCUUCCUGGUACCAUUUAGUCACCGUGUGGAAUAAGCGGGAGAGGAGGCGUAGCUGAAGGCGGCUGAGUGACUGGAGGAGCGGCAGAAGGUGCAUUGUAACCGCUCUCUGGUCUCACACAUUUGAAUGGCCUGCGGACGUAUGAAUGGCUGGGUGAAAUUCCCUCCUUUCAUUCACCAAAAGUCUACUGUGUGGAACGUGCAAUCCUGACCUGUGGAACUGGAGAGGGGGCCAGCAGUUCACCGUACAGUAGAUAAGAGAAGACACCUGGCCUGCUCUAUGGAUGCCAUUACAAAGAGAAUCAAGUAUCAAAGGAUACGUCUGAAAGCAUGAAGGA